UCCUAUCAUUUUUUUGUUUUCUGUAUUUUAAUAUACUAAUGAGAUAAAGUGCUGGAGACAAUCUGACACGUGCUAAUGAAUUCAGUAAAAGAGAUGUUCAGAGCCACCAUUUCUUAGAUGCGUGAAAGGGAAGUCUGAUGAGAAAACUGAGGCUGAAGGUGAUUAAUUUAGGAGCAAAUUCUCAGAAUUAUUAUUGACAGG